rnacentral:rRNA from 1 species
CCUACGGGGGGCUGCAGUGAGGAAUAUUGGGCAAUGCCCGCAAGGGUGACCCAGCAACGCCGCGUGGAGGAUGAAGGCCGUAAGGUUGUAAACUCCUGUUAGAGGAGAAGAAUAGUACCGAUUGGAUCGGUAUUUGACUGUACCCUCAGAGAAAGCACCGGCUAACUACGUGCCAGCAGCCGCGGUAAUACGUAGGGGGCAGGCGUUGUCCGGAUUAACUGGGUGUCAGGGGCGCGAAGGCGGCAGAGCUGAAAGCCUACAGCUUAACUGUAGAACUGCCUUUGAUACUGUUAUUCUUGAGUUCGGGAGAGAGAGACGGAAUUCCAGGUGUAGUGGUGAAAUACGUAGAUAUCUGGAAGAACACCAGUUGCGAAGGCGGUCUCUUGGUCCGAUACUGACGCUGAGGCGCGAAAGCGUGGGGAGCAAACAGGAUUAGAUACCCCAGUAGUC